rnacentral:rRNA from 1 species
UACGUAGGGAGCAAGCGUUGUCCGGAAUCAUUGGGCGUAAAGCGCGCGUAGGUGGCUUCGUAAGUCCGUUGUGAAAGUCAAAGGCUCAACCUUUGAAAGCCGAUGGAUACUGUGAAGCUAGAGUACGGAAGAGGCGAGUGGAAUUCCUGGUGUAGCGGUGGAAUGCGCAGAUAUCAGGAGGAACACCAAUAGCGAAGGCAGCUCGCUGGGACGUUACUGACGCUGAGACGCGAAAGCGUGGGGAGCAAACAGG